rnacentral:lncRNA from 1 species
CAGAAUAUUUAAAUUACGAAGAAGGGAAGUUUUCGAAGUCGAGAGGCGUCGGUGUUUUUGGUACUGACGCACAGGAAACCGGUAUACCUUCAGACGUGUGGCGUUUCUACCUGGCCAGCAUCAGGCCCGAGACCUCGGAUUCCAGCUUCAGUUGGGCGGAAUUGGGUACCAG